rnacentral:lncRNA from 10 species
UUGAAGCUCACCGGUUUCAGAAGCCUGCUGGAUCAUUGGAAAUGCAUUGAAAUGAAUUCAUUGUCCAUGUGUUUAUGGAUGACUUCUGAAAGAAAAAUAGCAAUGUUUGACAUAAGGCCAAGAAAUAGACCAAACUUCCUCAGAACGGAAUGUGAUUUUAGCAAGCUUCCAAAAUUCCAGUUGCUCAUUGAAGCUUAGUGAAGAUAGUCAGACCUCGUGGGAUGGAAAUAGAGGCUGAACAGCACACAGAGAUGCAGAGCCAUCCUGUGAAUAUUUUGGUCUAAGCUGGGGGCUCCCCUUCUGACAUUAGCAUCUAUUAUCUUCCUGGCUGAAUUCUUCCCUAAAGGGCGCUCGGCAUCCCUAGGUGGUUGCCAGUGUCAAGGCAACCUCACCAACUGUGAAGGUAUCCUGAGCUCCUGGAACAGGCAGAAAAGAAACCUGGCAGGAAGAUUUGGAGGUGGCUGCAAGCUGGCCUGACUUCUGCAGUGAAACAAGUCCCAGGAGCUGGAGGUACACCAUGCUGAGCUCCUGUUUCCUUGCAAGAUAACAGGUGUUCAGUGCCCCAAAAGGUGUUUCUUGCUUUGUCCUGUGACUGUGGACCACCUCUUCCCUGGGCAAUCCAGAGAGCUCUUCCACCAUCCAACAGCUGCAACCACACUGGCUCCAAAAAAGUCUGAACCCAACUUUUGAAGAGGGAUGCACCUUCCAUGUCUGCCUCUCCUUGGUUCCCCACGGGCAUGGCCGUGACCAGCUGGACGGUUAAUCCCCCACGAAUAAUCUUAUCACCCAGAGAAUGGAAUUGGAGAGAAGAUGAAAUAUUUCCAUCUUCACUGACAAGGACUUCUGGCAAUUUGGAUGAAUGAUGCCAAGAGAAGAAAGCAACCAGCUUAUAAACUUCCUAAGGAAGCAAAUUUCAAAAGAAACCCCAAACAUCACGAAUCACAAGCUGCUUUGUUUUCUUAUUCAUGACCUUCAUCUACCUUCCCUUUCAUCAAGUAAAUGGAAAUGUGUCAUUCUGAUUAACGGUGAUUGCUUCCUUGUCAUACAUCAACUAAAAUGAGAUGUUUCACCAUCAGAUUUAAGGGGACAUGGGCAUAUAUUUAAGAGGUCUGCCUGUCCAAUGUGGUGUGAGUCUUAUUUUGCAUGAAACCUAUUGGAGAAAUUAAUAAAAAGGUACAUUAUAUAUGUUUUAAAAAGCUUAUUAGUUGUAAAAUAAUACAGAUACAAAAAACUGCAUUAAAUAAAUGCUUAGUUUAAUAAACUAUUAUAAGGUCAACACUUUGUAACCAUGACCCAAAUCAAGACAAAGAAAUCUGCCAGACACCUCAUAAACCCUCUAUACAAUCAUUUUAACAACAAUUCCCUUCCCUACACCCUCAAAAGUAAUCUUUGUCCUCACUUUUAUGGCAAUCGCUUCUGAGCUUUCCUUUACAGUUUUAUCACCUGAUUAUACAUCCCUAUAUUUCAUUUCCCCUGUUAUUUUUAUGUCUCUAUUAGUCUACAGGUUACCCUUUGGUCUCUCCACAUUUGUUUCUCAUGUAAUUUAUUUGUUGAAGAAAACAAGUGUGUCCUAUAGAGUUUCUUACUAUCUGGAUUUUGCUGAUUGCAUCUCUGUGGAUCUACUGGAUUGAUCAUUGGGUUUAAUUUUUGGCAAGACAACUAUAGAGAUAUUAAUAGUAUUGUAUUCUUCUAUCACAGCCAUGUGAUGUACGGUUGUGUCUUUACUUAUGAUAACAGCAAAUGUACAAUGCCUAGAUCUAUUAAUUUAUCUGAGUUGCAAAAUAGUAAUAUUCUAAUUUAAUCAUUCUUCAUUUAGUUAUUAGUUGAAAUAAUUCUAUAAAGAUAAAAUUCACUCAUCUACUGCUUGGUUAUCAGGGAUGAAACUCAUAUAGAAAAGACAGAUUAUUUUUUGCCCUCAUUAUUUACCAGUUUAAAAAAUAAGUGGUUAUUAUUUUCAAAAAUGACAAAUUAUUUUCUAUCCUUAUGAAUUCAUAAAUUUAAACAUAUUUAUUGAGCUUCAGUUCACCGAAAAUAUUAUCCUUACUGAACAUAAAUUGUCUGAUCUUUGUCCAGUGGGAAAAUCAUUAGUUCCUUUGUCCUUUUGACAUAAUCCUAAUAGUUUUCUAGCUUCCUUGCUAACGAGGUAUGUGUAUGACACAAUCUCCUAGGCUCAUCUUGUACAAAUUCUGCCCAGACCUAGAAUCCUCUAAUUUCCCAAGAAUAGCUGUUUUCUUUUAGUGGGAAAUAGUAUUUCAAGAUCAUAAUCUGGGUCCUAGAGAUGUCAUUGCUAUUGGGUUGCUUUCUCUUUCUAAGCCUUUUCAGUACACGAGUAUGAACUCACAAUGUAUAUGAUACUUCCAAUUUAAAUUCAGUACCACAGGAUUUUUACUUGACCUUUUCUACCUGGCAUUUAUAUUUACUUUCUUCCAUGCCAGAAUACUGAUUCUAGAGAACACAGGGGAUUCAAGAAUUAGAAAAUCACAUAAUUGCCCAUGUGAUUUAUUUCAUUAUAUAUGAAACAGACUCAGCAUUAGCAAUUCUUCUACUAUAAAUAUAUAUAGCACUCAGUAUCAAGCUGUAUGUUAAUAACUCUCUAGUUAAUUUGGUUUAUUGGAAUUUACUCUCACUAAAUUCCUCAGAAAAAGCUCAUGGGAAAAAUAUUCUCCAAGUCAUUGAGUUUGCCUGAGCCCUUCAUGUGAAUGUCAAUUUAGUUGGAUAUAAAAUUUUUAGCUCACACAUCUUUCCUUAAUUAUCUUAAAUAUAUUAUUCUAUUUCCUUACAGUAUAAAGCAAUGUUGUAGGAAAGUCUACUGAAAGCCUGAUAUUGUCUAUUAUAAGUGAUUUGAUCUUUUUGCCUGGAUGCCUAAAUUUUUGUUUUUCUUCAAAGUCUAAUAGUUUUAUUAACUUUCUCUCAGUGUUGGUUAUUUUGGGUCAGUUUCCUUAGUUAUGUGGUGUGUAAUUUCAAUAUGUAAUUUAAACAAUUGUUUUGGGAAACUUUUGAAAUUAUAGUUUUGGGUAUUUUUUUGUUCCCUCAUUUUGAUUUUCUUUGGAGCCCUUAUUAUACGUAUGUUGGAUCUCCUUUGACUGCCUUCUAAAUUUGUCACUUUCCCUCAAAUCCUUAAAAAAAUUUCCAUUUUUAUCCUUUCUGAGUGAUAUAACUUCAUUUAUAAAUCUUCCUAAUUUGGAAUUAUGUAUUUUUCCACAUCAUGUGACAUUUUCUUAGGUUUUUUUUUUAGCUUGUUAGAAAUAGUGGGUUGUAGUUUUUAUUUGAAGGGGGAUGGGCCUGUAUUAGUAGCAUUUUUAAAUUUUUUGUGAAGCUAUUUUACUCUUUAUUAUUUUUUAAAUAAGAUUAUACCUAUGUCUUAGUACAUUUUGUGUUGCUGUUACAGAAUACCACAGACUGGAUAAUUUAUAAUGAAGAAAAAUUUAUUGGCCCACAGUUCUGAAGGCUGGAAAGUCCAAUAUCAAGUUGUCAGCAUCUGGCAAGAGUCUUCUUGCUGCAUCUUGACAUGGUAGAAGAGCAAAGAGAGAGGGAAAGGAGGCUGAACUUUCCCUUUUAUAAGAGCAUAGUCCCCCUUAAAUUGAGUUAUUUAUUAAAGGUCCUACUACUUAAUAUUGUUAUAAUGGCAAUUAGUUUCAACACAAGUUUUGGAAGUGACAAAUACUCAAACCGUAGCAACUGUGAUCUUUUCCUGUUGCCCAUUUCUAUGUAAAAUUUGCUCUUUUAAACUUUUUUUAUUUUUUGAGACAGAGUUCCACUCUUGUCACCUAGGCUGUAGUGCAAUGGUGAGAUCUCAGCUCACUGAAGCCUCCGCCUCCUGGGUUCAAGCAAUUCUCCAGCCUCAGCCUCCUGAGUAGCUGGGAUUACAGGCUCCCACCACCACUCCCAGCUAAUCUUUUGUAUUUUUAGUAGAGACGGGGUUUUGCCAUGUUGACCAGGCUGUUCUUGAAAUCCUGACAGGUCAUCCACCUGCCUCAGCCUCCCAAAGUGCUGGGAUUACAGGUAUGAGCCAACACGCUCAGCAUCUUUUCAACUUUUAAUCGGGAUAUAGUUCAGUAUAGUUUUACUAACUUUUCCAACUUUAGGCUUUACAGCACCUUCUCCUUUCGUUUUCAUGCAGUUUUCAAAACAUACAGCAGCUUGUUCUCUGAGAUCUCUUACCUCUAGGCACUUCUUCCACUUUUAUCUUUACCUUCUCUUUCCCUUGUCUUUAUACUGCUCAGUUUGGGUCCUGCUCUCAACAGUUUGUCCUCAGUGAGUGACUACCCUGGAAGGAAGUUUCAAAUGUUCAAGAAACCCAGACCAUUCCACUCCUUUAGAUCUUACUGUUAACUCUUUUUAUUCACCUGCUAGUAGAGUACACAAAGCCUCUCCCAGUUUUGGCUACUUUCCAUUGAGUACAUGUUGGACAUUUGGGGAUCCUGAGGCAUGUCAACUGCUUUGUUUCUCCCCUUAGCUUCCUCCUGCUAAAUUAUGGCUGAUAUAAUGUGGGCCCUUGUUGCUAUUAAUGAUUUGUCUCCCCAAAAUCAUAUUUUUGUCAAUUUAAUUUGUUAAUGACAUUCAUGUGUUUUGGUUUUGCUAUCUUUUUGCUCUAUUUUUUAAAAAAAUUGAGGAUAUUUAAAACUUCUUCUGCCACUGCCACAAUAUUCCAAGAUAUUUAUAUUUUUGUAUGUUAUUGAUAUAGUAAUACAAAUUGAAAUAUAGUAU